GACGAACGCUGGCGGCGUGCUUAACACAUGCAAGUCGAGCGGUAAGGCCCUUUCGGGGGUACGACGAGCGGCGAACGGGUGAGUAACACGUGGGUGACCUGCCCUCAGCUCUGGGAGUAAGCCGUGGGAAACCGGGUCUAAUACUGGAUAUGACUCCAUGACGCAUGUUGUGGGGUGGAAAGCCUUGUGCGGCUGAGGAU
rnacentral:rRNA from 1 species